rnacentral:rRNA from 1 species
CCCUUAGAUGUUCUGGGCCGCACGCGCGCUACACUGACGAAUGCAACGAGCUUAUAACCUUGGCCGAAAGGUCUGGGUAAUCUCCAAAUUUCGUCGUGAUGGGGAUAGAUUAUUGCAAUUAUUAAUCUUCAACGAGGAAUGCCUAGUAAGCGCAAGUCAUCAGCUUGCGUUGAUGACGUCCCUGCCCUUUGUACACACCGCCCGUCGCUCCUACCGAUUGAAUGGUCCGGUGAAGCGUUCGGACCGUGGCCUUUGGACGGUUCGCCGUCUGUUGGCUGCGGGAAGUUCGUUAAACCUUAUCAUUUAGAGGAAGGAGAAGUCGUAACA